rnacentral:piRNA from 1 species
UACCUUCAAAACUUCCCCUCU